GCGAGACUGGCAACGCUGUCUGGACUUCUCAGCGGCGGUGGCUCGAGCUUUUCGCAGGUAUCUCUAAUGGUGACAACAAUGACUUUUCAGAACCCUUUGGAUUGGGGAUUUGCAGUAUUGAGUCGACGAAAACUACGUGAAUAGCUGCUUUAUUCACACCGACGAGGCUAAAACUCUACUUGAAUAUUUAAGAGAACCAAGACAAUUAUAUAAGAGAACCAAGGCAACA